rnacentral:rRNA from 1 species
GUGGGGAAUAUUGCACAAUGGGGGAAACCCUGAUGCAGCGACGCCGCGUGAGGGAAGAAGGUUUUCGGAUUGUAAACCUCUGUCUUCAGGGACGAUAGUGACGGUACCUGAGGAGGAAGCUCCGGCUAACUACGUGCCAGCAGCCGCGGUAAUACGUAGGGAGCGAGCGUUGUCCGGAAUUACUGGGUGUAAAGGGAGCGUAGGCGGGACAGCAAGUUGAAUGUGAAAUCUAUGGGCUCAACCCAUAAACUGCGUUCAAAACUGUUGUUCUUGAGUGAAGUAGAGGUAGGCGGAAUUCCUAGUGUAGCGGUGAAAUGCGUAGAUAUUAGGAGGAACACCAGUGGCGAAGGCGGCCUACUGGGCUUUAACUGACGCUGAGGCUCGAAAGCGUGGGUAGCAAACAGGAUUAGAAACCCGAGUAGUCC